rnacentral:rRNA from 1 species
UACGGAGGGUGCGAGCGUUAAUCGGAAUUACUGGGCGUAAAGCGUGCGCAGGCGGCUUUGCAAGACAGAUGUGAAAUCCCCGGGCUCAACCUGGGAACUGCAUUUGUGACUGCAUGGCUGGAGUGCGGCAGAGGGGGAUGGAAUUCCGCGUGUAGCAGUGAAAUGCGUAGAUAUGCGGAGGAACACCGAUGGCGAAGGCAAUCCCCUGGGCCUGCACUGACGCUCAUGCACGAAAGCGUGGGGAGCAAACAGG